rnacentral:rRNA from 1 species
GAUGAACGCUGGCGGCGUGCCUAAUACAUGCAAGUCGAGCGAACGGACGAGAAGCUUGCUUUUCUGAUGUUAGCGGCGGACGGGUGAGUAACACGUGGAUAACCUACCUAUAAGACUGGGAUAACUUCGGGAAACCGGAGCUAAUACCGGAUAAUAUUUUGAACCGCAUGGUUCAAAAGUGAAAGACGGUCUUGCUGUCACUUAUAGAUGGAUCCGCGCUGCAUUAGCUAGUUGGUAAGGUAACGGCUUACCAAGGCAACGAUGCAUAGCCGACCUGAGAGGGUGAUCGUCCACACUGGAACUGAGACACGGUCCAGACUCCUACGGGAGGCAGCAGUAGGGAAUCUUCCGCAAUGGGCGAAAGCCUGACGGAGCAACGCCGCGUGAGUGAUGAAGGUCUUCGGAUCGUAAAACUCUGUUAUUAGGGAAGAACAUAUGUGUAAGUAACUGUGCACAUCUUGACGGUACCUAAUCAGAAAGCCACGGCUAACUACGUG